CUUCAACGAGCCGAGCCACAAAGGCUGUUCACGGUCCUGGCCAUAGGUGGCAAGCAACGCCUGCGCCUC
rfam:Actinobacteria bacterium OK074 ctg128, whole genome shotgun sequence.